rnacentral:rRNA from 1 species
AAGAAAUCAACCGAGAUUCCCCCAGUAGCGGCGAGCGAACGGGGAGGAGCCCAGAGCCUGAAUCAGCAUGUGUGUUAGUGGAAGCGUCUGGAAAGGCGCGCGAUACAGGGUGACAGCCCCGUACACAAAAGCGCAUGUGCUGUGAGCUCGAUGAGUAGGGCGGGACACGUGGUAUCCUGUCUGAAUAUGGGGGGACCAUCCUCCAAGGCUAAAUACUCCUGACUGACCGAUAGUGAACCAGUACCGUGAGGGAAAGGCGAAAAGAACCCCGGCGAGGGGAGUGAAAAAGAACCUGAAACCGU